rnacentral:lncRNA from 1 species
AGUAAAAAAUCGGUCAAAUAUAUAAAAACUUAGUCGAGCUCAGCUCCAACUAGUGGCACGCUUUAAACUAUCAAAUGCAGACUUUCGAAGUCACUUAAAGUCGGAACUGUGUUGCAACAACAGCCACAAAUCAACAUGCCAACGCAACCGCAGCCAAGACGGCACGCAACGCAAUACACACACUUAUGCACACCUGCCUGUAUUUGUCAACAAGCGUUGAACUUUGCACCAAAUCCACAAACAAGUGAAUUUUCACUGCAUUAACGCCAUGUGGCACGAAUGCGUUGCAAGAAAUGGCAAGCGAAGGAAGAAAGCAUGCAAUGUAACACUUUCAUUUGCAGGCACACGUUGGGAAGUACACGCACCAUAUGAGGCUGCCUCGGAGAUUACAGUCCUAGGCAUACUCAAUCACAUGAAUGUGUUUGUGUGUGUUGUUGCAUAUGUGAAGUUGAUGAGUGUGACAGCCUCACGAAAUAUAACUCCGGAAAAGGAAAUCGCUGGAAAUCGGCACAAGUGCGAUAUGCAAAUCAACCGACACGCAAGUGGCAAGCACAAGAUUGAAGAGAGACAGGGAGAGAUUGCGUGAACGUGGCGGGAAGAGAAACCGUGAGAAAGUAGGUGACGUUGGACGAACAAAUCGAGAUUAGAAGGAUUUGAAAGAGCGUUUAACUCAACGGACUGUGAAAAUCCGCGAAAAGAGGCGUCAAAGCCCGCCUAAAUGAUUCGCAUUUCCAUACAACAACAAACAUUGCGAAAGCGUAGAAAUAAGGGAAAUAAAUAACGAGUACGCGGAAAUGGAAGGGGAAAUCGAAGAUUGCAGAAACGUGGAGCAGUAAUAGUUGG